GGAAGCUGUGGGACACAGAGUCUCUUGGUUUUGCAUCCAGUUCCAGCACUCAGUAGCGCUGAGAUUCUCAUUCUAAAAUGCAGAUGGAUUUUGAUUUGGUGAUUCAGAUUUUCAGGCCUGUGUCUCCAAGAUUUCAGGGGUGUGUUUCCUGGAGCUGCAAACCAAAUGGCCACACACGAAGUGGCUUAAAACAGCAGAGGUUCGUUCUCACAGCUCUGGAGGCCAGAACUCCCAACUCACGGUGUGGCCGGGGCUGGUUCCUUCUGGAGGCUCUGAGGGAGCCUCGGUCCCAGGCCCCUCCCAGCGCCCGCUGCUGGCGGGCCUCCCGGGUGCUGCCAGCCUUGUGGACACACGGCUCCAAUCUCUGCCCUCUCCUGCGCAUCUGUGUGUUUUCCUUUUCCUGUCAGCACAGCAGUCAGUGGACUUAGGGCCCCCGUGGCUCAUCCUGGACGCAUUUGUCCCAGGACCUGUCUAUCUACAAAGAUCUUUUUCCAAAUGAGGUCACAUUCAUGGGCUCUGAAGGCUAGGACCUGGCUGUAUCUUCUUGGGGUCACCCUUCAGCCCCCGACAGGAAGUGUGGCCCCAGAACCCUGGGGGUUUCCGAGCCCAUGCCCGUGUGUGGUUCUGGAAUUCUGAGGCUGAUCCUGUGGCUGGUGUCCCGGAAUUCCCUGGUCUGGCCACUCGUCCAUGCAGGCACCCUAGGGGUUCCCCGGCAGGACCCCAGAACGCCAAUCUCCGACUCCACGGGUCCAGGCGGGCUCCCGGGAGCUGAUGCCGAGGUCUCUGUCCUGCAGGUUCGGACGAAGGACGUGCUGUUUGAGAGCAUCAGCCACCUGAUCGACCACCACCUGCAGAACGGGCAGCCCAUCGUGGCCGCCGAGAGUGAGCUGCACCUGCGCGGCGUGGUCUCACGGGAGCCCUGAGCCAGGUGACCGUUCUCAGCCCCGGCUCCUGCCUGUCGUGGCCUUGGGGCUCUCAGCCCUCCUCCUGGAUCCUGGUCAGGCCGAACCGCCGCUGCCUCUCCUUCCUCCGCAUGAGCCUCUGGCAUGGUCCUUCCUCCAGCUGGCCCCCGGCUGGGCAGAGCCUCCUCCUGCCGGGGCCCCUGCCCACCCCCUCCUUUGCCUGGAGUGAGGGUGUUCAUACCAAAGACGGAACCGUUUCGCCUUUAAAGAAAAUAUAUCCAGAAGCAGCCGCUGCCUCGGAGCCCUGGCCCGUGGGUCCCCCUCUCACCGGGCUGGUUCAGUCUAAUUCCCCGGAGAGUCAGGGCUCCCCGGACCCUGGGGAGGAGGUGGAUUCCGGGCCUGGCUGGGCUUCCUUUUCCCACCUGAGGACUGGGUGCACAGUUGUCUUUGAGGGAGGACGGUUAAGGUGCUUUGGGGUUCUCAGGCCAGGACACAUGCUGGCGCUGAAGUGGAGGCAGCCUUGAGGUCACCUGGGAUCUCGGGGUAGCCAGGCCGCUCCAAGACAGUGGAUAUCGAGGCAGUCGUGAGGCCCCUACUCCACCUGGGAGCAGGGGAAGGACGUGGUUGCCUGGCCCGAGCUGCGCCCAGCAGCUUCCCCCCAAUCCCGCCCUCCCAGCUGUGGACCCAGACCGGAUGUUCGGAUCGGUUUGUAAUUAAACCUGGGAAUGGCCACAAGA
rnacentral:sRNA from 1 species